UGCGAUAAGUAAUGUGAAUUGCAGAAUUCAGUGAAUCAUCGAAUCUUUGAACACACCUUGUGCUCCUUGGGUUACCUAUGGAGCAUGCCUGUUUGAGUGUCAUGUUAAUCUCAAUUCCCUCAGGCAUUUUUUGUAUUAAUGAAAAGGGCCUGUUCUUAGGGUUAUUGGAUUUGAGGGUUCAUGCAGGUUCCUUUUAUAGGGAAUCAGCUCCCUCUAAAAAAUAUUAGCUAGAGGAUGAAGCAAAAAUGUCUCAGCAUUGUUCAUUGGCUCAUGGUGUAAUAAUUGUUUCAUCAUGGCAUUUUAUGUGGUAGAGACUUUUGUGAUAUUCUCUGUAUCUAAUUUGUCAGAUUUUUCUGGCAAUUCAUGCAUUCUCUUUGGCCUCAAAUCAGGUAGGACUACCCGCUGAACUUAAGCAUAUCAUUAAGCGGAGGAAAAGAAACUAACAAGGAUUCCCCUAGUAACUGCGAGUGAAGCGGGAAGAGCUCAAAUUUAAAAUCUGGCAGCUCUGCUGUCCGAGUUGUAAUCUGUAGAAGCAUUUUCUGCAUUGGACUGUGUACAAGUCUCUUGGAAUAGAGCGUCAUAGAGGGUGAGAAUCCCGUCCAUGACACAGACUGCCAAUGCUUUGUGAUAUGCUCUCAAAGAGUCGAGUUGUUUGGGAAUGCAGCUCAAAAUGGGUGGUAAAUUCCAUCUAAAGCUAAAUACAGGCGAGAGACCGAUAGCGAACAAGUACCGUGAGGGAAAGAUGAAAAGCACUUGGAAAGAGAGUUAAACAGUACGUG
rnacentral:rRNA from 1 species